rnacentral:rRNA from 1 species
GACGAACGCUGGCGGCGUGCCUAAUACAUGCAAGUAGAACGCACAGUUUAUACCGUAGCUUGCUACACCAUAGACUGUGAGUUGCGAACGGGUGAGUAACGCGUAGGUAACCUGCCUGGUAGCGGGGGAUAACUAUUGGAAACGAUAGCUAAUACCGCAUAAUAUUGAUUAUUGCAUGAUAAUUGAUUGAAAGAUGCUAUUGCAUCACUACCAGAUGGACCUGCGUUGUAUUAGCUAGUAGGUGAGGUAACGGCUCACCUAGGCGACGAUACAUAGCCGACCUGAGAGGGUGAUCGGCCACACUGGGACUGAGACACGGCCCAGACUCCUUCGGGAGGCAGCAGUAGGGAAUCUUCGGCAAUGGACGAAAGUCUGACCGAGCAACGCCGCGUGAGUGAAGAAGGUUUUCGGAUCGUAAAGCUCUGUUGUAAGAGAAGAACGGGUGUGAGAGUGGAAAGUUCACACUGUGACGGUAUCUUACCAGAAAGGGACGGCUAACUACGUG